CAAGUUUGGAAAGAGGAAGAAAAACCGGAAAAAACUGGAAUGAAGCCAGUCUGGAGUAGUCUUUAGUGUAUAAAUCAUAUCAAUCGAAGUCUUCCUCCGCUCGGAAUUCGACAUGACCAGGCCGGCAAUCCGCAGUUUGUGAUACGAACGGGGCGCAGAAUAAGCUGCAGACGGCGGAGAUCAUUACAUUGACAUAUUCAUGCGGAAUCGGAGUCGGAAUCGGGGAAUUCCAGGGAAUGCACAAACAAUGGAGCACGCGACCAUGUGGAGCGGAGCCAUGAGGAGCGCGUCCCACGCGACUGCCGGGAAUCAACCUGCAACCUGCAACCUGCAACCGGCA
rnacentral:sRNA from 1 species